rnacentral:rRNA from 1 species
AACGAACGCUGGCGGCAUGCCUAACACAUGCAAGUCGAACGAGACCUUCGGGUCUAGUGGCGCACGGGUGCGUAACGCGUGGGAACCUGCCCUUAGGUUCGGAAUAACUCCCCGAAAGGGGUGCUAAUACCGGAUAAUGUCUUCGGACCAAAGAUUUAUCGCCUUUGGAUGGGCCCGCGUUGGAUUAGCUAGUUGGUAGGGUAAAAGCCUACCAAGGCGACGAUCCAUAGCUGGUCUGAGAGGAUGAUCAGCCACACUGGGACUGAGACACGGCCCAGACUCCUACGGGAAGCAGCAGUGGGGAAUAUUGGACAAUGGGCGAAAGCCUGAUCCAGCAAUGCCGCGUGAGUGAUGAAGACCUUAGGGUUGUAAAGCUCUUUUACCCGGGAUGAUAAUGACAGUACCGGGAGAAUAAGCUCCGGCUAACUCCGUG